CCCUUAGAUGUUCUGGGCUGCACACGCGCUACACUGAAGGAGGCAGCGUGUACUCCUGGAUCGAAAGAUUUGGGUAACCCGCGAAUCUCCUUCGUGCUAGGGAUUGAGGUUUGCAAUUAUCCUUCAUGAACGAGGAAUUCCCAGUAAGUGCAAGUCAUAAGCUUGCGCUGACUACGUCCCUGCCCUUUGUACACACCGUCCGUCGCUACUACUGAUUGAAUGAUUUAGUGAGGACUUCGGACUGGGACCGAUGCGGCUUUCGGGCUGCGUCGGUAUUCUGGAAAGAUGUCCAAACUGUAUCAUUUAGAGGAAGUAAAAGUCGUAACA
rnacentral:rRNA from 1 species